CGAGAGUGCAGGUGCUGCUGGAGACGAAUGGGCAUCCAAGCUGCCCAGGGAAGCUGGGAGGAAGGCUCCCGGGAAGUAAAUUUCCCUAAAGAAAAUCUCACGUACCCACUUGAUUGAAUGGAAGUUAAACAAAUACUUUGAAACCUAAAAUCCCUUCGCUCACCAAAGAGAGAGAAUUUAGAGCCUGGCUCUGCUUGGGACAUCUCCAGCUAAAGGCUACAAGCAGAAGUAGAGGGACUAACUGAAUGUUUCCCAGUCCUGAUGUCACUGUGCGGGGGAAGAAAAAGUAGACAGCCUCAUUCUCUCUUCAAAACGCCUCAGAUCGGAUGAAGGAGGUAGAGAGUCUCUGUACACAGCAAGUAUUGGCCACCUGUGAAAAAGUGCUUCAAACCUGCCUAUGGUAGAAGAUUACAUAGCAGAGCUCACUGCCAGUUGGAAACUACAUAGCGCUGCAACUUGAAACACAGUGCUUGUCCAUCUCUCUUCACACCUCUGAGUCUCAAAAAUAUUGCUAUAACAGCUGCAGUGCCAUCGCGGAGCUGAUUUUUGUUUAGAGCAAAUUGAGUUUUAAAAUUGCUGGUGUCACUUUGAGGAGAAAGUCUGAAAUGUUGGGAAAAGCCUUUCGCAAAGAGCCUGGUGAAGACAAGAAAUAUAAAGAAACCAGGCAGAUUUUCAAGUGCUCGGUGCCUGAAAGUUGAAGCUAGGCAUUCAAAAGUUCUCAGGACCCACUACCUACCGCUGCCACGCUUAUUAACCAAACUUAUCAAAUGGACU